rnacentral:lncRNA from 1 species
GGCGAGGUGGGUCUCGGCCAUUCCUGAUGAAACGGCGGAGAUGCCCAGCCUGGAUAAGUUCCUCGAUCUUAUCCUUUAGGGCCUGACACUCCUCGGUCGAGUGUCAGGCAUUUUGGUGGUACCGACACUGCUUCUUCCGGUCGGCAUUGUUUGGGCUGGCCACCUUUUUUGGAGGAGGGAUCAACUCGGCGCUCAGAGCCUCGUCCAGAAUCCUCCCUCUAUCGGUCGUCAGGGGUGUGUAUCUUGAGAACCGGAUCGGUCGGUCUC